AAAGAAGCGAAAUUGUACCCAAAAGUAGUCUGGAGACGCAUACUUACAAACAUUAGUGCUUUAGACUUGACACGCCAUUUCAAAACGCGGCUAACUUCACGAGACGCCGAGCCGCAACAGCGACGCCAAACAGGGAUACGUGAGACGUUUUGGCAAGGCUGGACGACUCGAAGAAGCGCAAGGCUGCUGCGCGGAAGGGGACGCUCGCCGAGCUCCUGCCACGGUCACUUGAGCCAGGGCGACAGCCAAGGAACUUGUCAAAGCAG